UGCAGUCGAGCGGGGAUGGUAGCUUGCUACCUGACCUAGCGGCGGACGGGUGAGUAAUGCUUAGGAAUCUGCCUAUUAGUGGGGGACAACAUUCCGAAAGGAAUGCUAAUACCGCAUACGCCCUACGGGGGAAAGCAGGGGAUCUUCGGACCUUGCGCUAAUAGAUGAGCCUAAGUCAGAUUAGCUAGUUGGUGGGGUAAAGGCCUACCAAGGCGACGAUCUGUAGCGGGUCUGAGAGGAUGAUCCGCCACACUGGGACUGAGACACGGCCCAGACUCCUACGGGAGGCAGCAGUGGGGAAUAUUGGACAAUGGGCGCAAGCCUGAUCCAGCCAUGCCGCGUGUGUGAAGAAGGCCUUUUGGUUGUAAAGCACUUUAAGCGAGGAGGAGGCUACUUGGAUUAAUACUCUAGGAUAGUGGACGUUACUCGCAGAAUAAGCACCGGCUAACUCUGUGCCAGCAGCCGCGGUAAUACAGAGGGUGCGAGCGUUAAUCGGAUUUACUGGGCGUAAAGCGUGCGUAGGCGGCUUUUUAAGUCGGAUGUGAAAUCCCUGAGCUUAACUUAGGAAUUGCAUUCGAUACUGGGAAGCUAGAGUAUGGGAGAGGAUGGUAGAAUUCCAGGUGUAGCGGUGAAAUGCGUAGAGAUCUGGAGGAAUACCGAUGGCGA
rnacentral:rRNA from 1 species